GAUGGAUAGAGGGUGUGUAUGGGGACAGAUGGAUGGAUGGAUGGAGGGUGUGCAUGGGGACGGAUGGAUAGAGGGUGCAUAUGGGGAUGGAUAGAUGGAUGGAUAGUGGGUGUGUAUGGGGAUGGAUGGAUGGAGAGAGGGUGCGUAUGGGGACGAACGGAUGGAUAGAUGGUGCGUAUGGGGACGGACAGACGGAUGGAUAGACGGAUGGAUGAAUGGAUGGAGGGUGCGUAUGGGGACGGAUGGAUGGAUAGGUGGUGCGUAUGGGGACGGACAGACGGAUGGAUGGAUGGAUGGAUAGAUGGAUGGAGGGUGCGUAUGGGGAUGGACGGAUGGAUAGGUGGUGCGUAUGGGGAUGGAUAGAUGGAUGGAUACUGGGUGUGUACAGGGACGGAUGGAUGGAGAGAGGGUGCAUAUGAGGAUGGAUAGAGGGUGCGUAUGGGGACAGAUGGAUGGAUAGAUGGUGCAUAUGGGGACGGACGGAUGGAUAGACGGAUGGAUGAAUGGAUGGAGGGUGCAUAUGGGGACGGAUGGAUGGAUAGAUGGUGCGUAUGGGGACGGAUAGACGGAUGGAUGGAUUGAUAGACGGAUGGAUGGAUGGAGGGUGUGUAUGGGGACGGAUGGAUAGAGGGUGCAUGGAUGGAUGGAUGGAUGGAGGGUGCGCAUGGGGACGGAUGGAUAGAGGGUGCAUAUGGGGAUGGAUAGAUGGAUGGAUAGUGGGUGUGUAUGGGGAUGGAUGGAUGGAGAAAGGGUGCAUAUGAGGAUGGAUGGAUAGAUAGAGGGUGCAUGGAUGGAUAGACGGAUGGAUGAAUGGAUGGAGGGUGCGUAUGGGGACGGAUGGAUGGAUAGGUGGUGCGUAUGGGGACGGACAGACGGAUGGAUGAAUGGAUGGAGGGUGCUUAUGGGGAUGGACGGAUGGAUAGGUGGUG